UAAGUGAAAGCCAAAGUAGAGGCACCUAUCUGUUAAUUAGGAGAAUGUAAAGAAAGUUACUCAUUUAGC
rnacentral:tRNA from 1 species